GUGGGGAAUAUUGGACAAUGGGCGAAAGCCUGAUCCAGCCAUGCCGCGUGUGUGAAGAAGGCUCUAGGGUUGUAAAGCACUUUAAGCAGGAAAGAAAAGCGUCGGAUUAAUACUCCGAGCGUAUUGACGGUACCUGCAGAAUAAGCACCGGCUAACUUCGUGCCAGCAGCCGCGGUAAUACGAAGGGUGCAAGCGUUAAUCGGAAUUAUUGGGCGUAAAGCGAGUGUAGGCGGUUUCGUGUGUCGGAUGUGAAAGCCCCGGGCUCAACCUGGGAGUUGCAUUCGAAACUGCGGAGCUAGAAUAUGGUAGAGGAAGACGGAAUUCCACGUGUAGCGGUGAAAUGCGUAGAUAUGUGGAGGAACACCAAUGGCGAAGGCAGUCUUCUGGGCCAAUAUUGACGCUGAGGCUCGAAAGCGUGGGUAGCAAACAGGAUUAGAAACCCUAGUAGUCC
rnacentral:rRNA from 1 species